rnacentral:rRNA from 1 species
UAUCGGAACGUGCCCUGGAGUGGGGGAUAACGUAGCGAAAGUUACGCUAAUACCGCAUACGAUCUAAGGAUGAAAGUGGGGGAUCGCAAGACCUCAUGCUCCUGGAGCGGCCGAUAUCUGAUUAGCUAGUUGGUGGGGUAAAAGCCUACCAAGGCGACGAUCAGUAGCUGGUCUGAGAGGACGACCAGCCACACUGGGACUGAGACACGGCCCAG